rnacentral:rRNA from 1 species
GACGAACGCUGGCGGUGUGCUUAACACAUGCAAGUCGAACGGUAAGGCCCUUUCGGGGGUACACGAGUGGCGAACGGGUGAGUAACACGUGAGUAACCUGCCCUCAUCUCUGGGAUAACAGUCGGAAACGGUUGCUAAUACUGGAUAUGAGCUUGCAAGGCAUCUUGUGGGUUGGAAAGAUUCUUUUUGGUUGGGGAUGGACUCGCGGCCUAUCAGCUUGUUGGUGAGGUAGUGGCUCACCAAGGCUUCGACGGGUAGCCGGCCUGAGAGGGCGACCGGCCACAUUGGGACUGAGAUACGGCCCAAACUCCUACGGGAGGCAGCAGUGGGGAAUAUUGCACAAUGGACGGAAGUCUGAUGCAGCAACGCCGCGUGCGGGAUGACGGCCUUCGGGUUGUAAACCGCUUUCAAUUGUGACGAAGCUUUUUUGUGACGGUAGCAGUAGAAGAAGCACCGGCUAACUACGUG